GAAGAAGUAACUGGAACAGAAUCAUCUGGCAAAAUCAACUGAGAAAAAUGGGAAAAAGUACCACCUGGUUUCCUUACUGGCAAUAUUUUUAGUGGCAGUAAUAUCCAAAUAAUGUGGAUCUCAAUCAAGGCUGUCAAAUAAACACAUUGCUAGGAGGAUCACCUCAACCUGUAGGAGCUUCCUUCCUGCCAAGAAGCUGGUUCAUUCACCACUGAGCGUCAUCAUCAUGGAAUGGACCAGCGUUUCUCUUUCACCAAAGCGAAAUGCUUAGGGAAGCGUUACCCUGCCAUAUGUCAGCCUUGAUGGAUGAGCCAGUGCUACGAUGGAUUUACCAAUCCCAUGACAUGGUAUAAAGACUUUCUCAGACCUAGCCACAAUUUUGAUAUUCUUUCUGAGAACUUUGGAGAGGCAGACUGAUGCUUUCAUUGGUCAUCUGAAAAAAAAAAAAAAAAAGAGUCACUACCAAGUCGGUAGUGCUGAGCUGAGGUCUGUGGAGAAAUUCAUGUAUAAGUUUGGUAAAGCUUCCGGGUCUUCUGGAUCCAGGCAGAUCUUGACAAUUCAGAACUGUCCUAUGAAUUGCUCUGAGACCAUCUCCAUGUAGUUCUCCCAUGCGAUUAGUUACAUCUCCUCCUGAAGCUUUCAUGGGAUGAGCAAUUUGACGACUAAAAAACAAACAAAAAAGCUUGAGACUGGAGUGCAAAUUAUUAUUUGGAAAUCUUACCUCCUAAUGACCUUAUUUCAAAGGCAGCUUUACUGAGUUUGGUUGAAGAUAUGAAGUCUUACCCUGCUGGAGGUUCAAGCCAAGACAUAGAAAGAGGACAUUACCUGGGACAGGAAUUAAUGCCUAUCACUGGGGAUGCCUGCAGCACCAUUGUCACCAUUGGCUGCAGUUCGCUGAGUGCUUCCUCCCUGCCAGGCACCUUGCACACCUUAUUUUCAGUCUCCGCAGCUGCCUUGUUGAGGUUGGCUCUCUAUUCUUCUGU
rnacentral:lncRNA from 1 species